rnacentral:misc_RNA from 1 species
GAUGAAGAACGUAGCGAAAUGCGAUACGUAAUGUGAAUUGCAGAAUUCAGUGAAUCAUCAAAUCUUUGAACGCAUAUUGCGCUCUCUGGUAUUCCGGAGAGCAUGCUUGUUUGAGUAUCAGUAAACACCUCAACUCCCUUUUCUUUUUUGAAAUUGGAGCUGGACUUGAGUGAUCCCAACGCUUUCUUCCAAGAAAGUGGCGGGUUGCUUGAAAUGCAGGUGCAGCUGAACUUUUCUCUGAGCUAUAAGCAUAUCUAUUUAGUCUGCCUAAAAAACAGAUUAUUACCUUUGCUGCAGCUAACAUAAAGGAGACUAGUUCUUGUGCUGACUGAUGCAGGAUUCACAGAGACAGCUUCGGCUGACUUUGUAAACUCGAUCUCAAAUCAAGUAAGACUACCCGCUGAACUUAAGCAUAUCAAUAAGCGGAGGA